rnacentral:misc_RNA from 1 species
GUCUGCACCCAUCAUCAAAGUAUCCUACAAAAAAUAUGAUUUUUCUCAUUAUCAGUCUUCAUUUACAAAGACAAGAAAAGGCCAAAUGACAAGUUCCAUUAUACUGCUAUCAUCUAUGAGUAUGACAAUGAAGAUUUAAAUUGCCUUGAGCAAUAAAAAACAGACUAUGUUCAGUGAGCUGAUCAAAGCAGAAAACAAUCCUGCUUCAAUGAAAAUUUAAAGGAGGUCUUGCUCUUGCACUUUUGCUGUUUUGCUAACCCAUGCUCAGAUAAAAAGAAUGGUUAAGGUGGUGGCAUCAUGCACAAGAAAAGGGAAAAGCAUGCUCACUGAAAGGUCAACACCACUCUCCA